rnacentral:rRNA from 1 species
AUGUAUGAAUCUGACCGUAAGAACAAGAUUCGUCGAUGCUCCUCUUUCUCGGCUAGUGAGCCAACACGGGUGUCCUCAUGGCGGCCUCCCUCCGACGAUCUGAGGUGCCCUCAUGGCCUCCUCUGCUUCCUACCUAGCAGAUCACGGCGGCCCUCCCCCACUUGCUGCUCAUCAUCAUCGAUCUCAACAACGAAGAGGGGCCAAAAUAAACGUGAACCUCGUCGCCCUCUUCAUGGUAAUGAUUCCUUACCGCUGCUACAAAUCUAUACUUAUUGUUCAGUACUACUAGUACUGAUCAAAUACGAGUUGAUUGAAAAAUGGAGUUGA